rnacentral:rRNA from 1 species
ACCUUCUUACGAAGGUAUGCUUAAAGAGGGGCUUGCGCCACAUUAGUUAGUUGGUAGAGUAAAAGCCUACCAAGACGAUGAUGUGUAGCUGGACUGAGAGGUUGAACAGCCACAUUGGGACUGAGACACGGCCCAAACUCCUACGGGAGGCAGCAGUAGGGAAUUUUCGGCAAUGGAGGAAACUCUGACCGAGCAACGCCGCGUGAACGAUGAAGUAUUUCGGUAUGUAAAGUUCUUUUAUUGAAGAAGAAAAAGUAGUGGAAAAACUAUAUUGACGUUAUUCAAUGAAUAAGCCCCGGCUAACUAUGUGCCAGCAGCCGCGGUAAGACAUAGGGGGCGAGCGUUAUCCGGAAUUAUUGGGCGUAAAGGGUGCGUAGGCUGUUAGAUAAGUCUAUAAUUUAAUUUCAGUGCUUAACGCUGUCUUGUUAUAGAAACUGUCUUGACUAGAGUGAGAUAGAGGCAAGCGGAAUUCCAUGUGUAGCGGUAAAAUGUGUAAAUAUAUGGAGGAACACCAGAAGCGUAGGCGGCUUGCUGGGUCUUUACUGACGCUGAGGCACGAAAGCGUGGGUAGCAAACAGGAUUAGAUACCCUGGUAGUCCACGCCGUAAACGAUGAGUACUAAGUGUCGGGGUAAAACUCGGUACUGAAGUUAACACAUUAAGUACUCCGCCUGAGUAGUACGUACGCAAGUAUGAAACUUAAAGGAAUUGACGGGACUCCGCACAAGCGGUGGAUCAUGUUGUUUAAUUCGAAGAUACACGAAAAAUCUUACCAGGUCUUGACAUACUCUGCAAAGCUAUAGAAAUAUAGUGGAGGUUAUCAGGGAUACAGGUGGUGCAUGGUUGUCGUCAGUUCGUGUCGUGAGAUGUUAGGUUAAGUCCUAAAACGAACGCAACCCUUGUCGUUAAUUGCCAGCACAUAAUGGUGGGGACUUUAACGAGACUGCCAAUUAAACAUUGGAGGAAGGUGAGGAUUACGUCAAAUCAUCAUGCCCCUUAUGAUCUGGGCUACAAACGUGAUCCAAUGGCUGUGACAAAGAGUAGCUGAAACGCGAGUUUUUAGCCAAUCUCAAAAAAGCAGUCUCAGUUCGGAUUGAAGUCUGUAACUCGACUUCAUGAAGUUGGAAUCGCUAGUAAUC